rnacentral:lncRNA from 1 species
UCUGACCCUCCUACAGCGCUUCCUGUCUCUGACAUCAGCAUGGCACUGUCAUUAUUACUGUUGUAAAGAGGCAGACAGGGCUGAUAUGCUGGCUGAGAGAAGCUGUGACAGCUGCUUCGUGAGAGCUUACCCACUUCUUUCCAACCAAGAGAGAACUGGAGGAAUGACUGUUGAGUUUUCAGAUGUAUAUGUAAACGUAUCCCAGCCUACACCUUGAAGGUGUGCUAUUUGCUCCACCUGUUAUGUGUUUGCAAAGAGU